AAAAGGGUUUCAUAUAGAAUAAAUCACAUCAAAGUCGUAAAAUCAGGUGUUGCUCUUCUAUUGCCAUGCUGUUUGUGAUGGCUCUUUGAUGAUGUUUGAAGCUGUCUUGGACCAAGAAUCUCCAGUUGUAAUAAGCUUGUGUUGUUGGUCUGGAUGCCUGUGCUGGGUGGUGUAGGACACUCUGGCCUUGUGACUAUGCAGGAAAAGAGGUUCCAUAUCCUGCAAUGCUGUUUUUUGUGCAUGAUUGCUGGUGGCAACCAGAGACCCCAGCUCUGGCCAGAUCUAAAAGACGUGGAAUAACRAUUGUGGCCAGGGAUGGAUGUAGGGCAAGAAACUGUACAAUGCACUUGAUGGAGUUUCCCUUAUCAGACCCCCUGGAAGAAAGGAUAUAAAGAGGAUCAUCUUCUAUCUCAUCGAUGUGGGAGAGAUUUUCCUCAUAGAGAAACCAUUGGGGA